rnacentral:rRNA from 1 species
UACGAAGGGGGCUAGCGUUGUUCGGAAUUACUGGGCGUAAAGGGCGCGUAGGCGGCUUCGAUAGUCGGGUGUGAAAUGCCUGGGCUCAACCCAGGAACUGCACUCGAAACUCCGAGGCUAGAGUGUGGGAGAGGAUAGUGGAAUUCCCAGUGUAGAGGUGAAAUUCGUAGAUAUUGGGAGGAACACCGGUGGCGAAGGCGGCUCUCUGGACCGGUACUGACGCUGAAACGCGAAAGCCAGGGGAGCAAACGGG